UACGUAGGCAGCGAGCGUUGUUCGGAAUUACUGGGCGUAAAGAGUGUGUAGGCGGUGCUCUAAGUCUGUUGUGAAAUCUCCCGGCUCAACUGGGAGGGUGCGGCGGAAACUGGAGUGCUAGAGUGUGGGAGAGGUAAGCGGAAUUCCUGGUGUAGCGGUGAAAUGCGUAGAUAUCAGGAGGAACACCUGCGGUGUAGACAGCUUACUGGACCACGACUGACGCUGAGACACGAAAGCGUGGGUAGCAAACAGG
rnacentral:rRNA from 1 species